AGACUGCAAUGAGUUCACCGGUUC
rnacentral:siRNA from 1 species